AGCGGGGGCGGAGGCGGGGAGGGGGGGGUUCUGGAUAAAUUUAUCUCAGUUUAUCUCUGUCAUUAACGCCGCCUGUACCAAGCUACCAAGGACUGUGCAGGUAAUCAGGCAGGCAGUAUAUAGCCCUAAUUACUGCCAGCUCACAAUAAAUUGGAAACUGGCCAAAGCAAACAAGCAAUGUCUGAAGUGACUAUAGAAUGAGCCUUCAGAUAUAUCGAUGGCCAACUUUUUAUUUUGGAUACAAGUCCUUUUCACUCAUGUGACUCUUACUUGUUUAUAAGCUAGCUUCAGUGUUAUAAAAAUUUCCAUUUAAGUUCUCAGUAAAAGUACUAAGUAAACAGAAUUAUGGAUGAAGAUUUUCAGAGGUUUAGCUGGUCGGUAUGUUUGUAACUUUUAACUGAUGCUGGUAACUGAUUCAAUUCCUAUUUUUCUGAGAACGUUUGUCCAGAUUUUACACAGACUUGAAUCAAGGAAUUUAAAGAUGUCCGUCGGACAAUGUUUAGUAACAAAACAUAAGUUUUUCAGAACAGGGAAACAGAACAUCCUGAAUGAGAGGUUCAUUCAGAUCUGCACUUGUCAGACCUUUCUGUAUGGACAGACCUGCUUUCUGUAGGCAGUGUUUAUGAAGAAGGAAAUAAAUACUUUCACUUUAUUCUACCUGAAUUGCAAGGAAUCUUAAAUAAAAAAUGGAUGCGGCGAGAACCUGAAAACACUCCAACGCACAAGAACAAUGCGUCACCUGAAUAAAAGAAGCUGAGCACCGCUGUUUCAGAAGCCAAGAACUCCACUGAAGUAAAGAGAAACCUGGCAACCUCCUGCAGGGGCACAAACUUCAUGUCCUGCUUUUUUUAACCAUGGCACACAGCCAGAAGUGACUGAUGAGAUCUUUAUGCAAUAUAAUUGCCUGUAUUUGUAUGACUUUUUGAUACUGGACCAUUAGGGGCAUUUAUACUUUUCAUUUUGUUUCAUCUUAAGAGUUUUUCUGGACAUAGUAAUAGUGAAAAUAGUGUGGAAUGUGAAAACUUUAUGAAAAUGAAACCAAAUGAUGGAUAGACUGUCAUUCGUCACAUAAAUAAGCUAGUCGAGGGAUGACAACCACAAUUCUACAAAAUCACAGCAUGCUGUGAAUAAGUUAACCCAGACUAGUUUAACAUGAUGAGCAUUUAUAAUAUAUUUACUCACCAGCUUAAUCAAAAGUAACUGAUUACAAGCUCAGCUGGAAUAAACAAAUAAAAUAAUAUACUAAGUGUUGCUAUCGUGACCUCUGACCUACAGCAGGCUUAUAUGAGCUGAACAUUUUUUUGUAAUUUAAUUUUACAUGAAUAUGAUGAAUAACUACGGAUUGUGCAUUCAGAGAUCAAGACAUAAUUAAAAUCAAGUUUUAAAACUUGAGGCUUGACCACAAAUUCAAGCUAUUCUGUCUUCAAGGUACUCAAAGUGAUUAAGUCAACAUGAGUCCCCUUUGACUACAUGGAACUGUUUAUCAUUUGACCUUGAGCCAAUUCACACAAACUAAAGUUUCUUUUUAAAUAUGUAUCUUUCGUUAUAGUGACUAAUUUAUACCAGACACAUUUGUCAAUGAUUGAACGUCAGUGGGAUGUUAUUAUAAAUUUUGCUGGGUACACUUAAUUAAUCCCGCCUUUACUUACUGGGUUUAUUUAACCCAUAAAAUAAACAAUGCUUAUUGAAAUAUGUUAUGGUUGGUCACACUUCAAGCCGUAUUUACUUUCCUUUCGCUUGCUGUUUUGUCUAAUCUUCUGAUAAUUUUUCUAUAUAAAGUGCUAUUAUACAAUUUCUUUUUAUAUGCUUAAGUUAAAAAUUAUAUAUACAUAUAUUGCUUUGUGUAUAUAGCCAGGCUAAUUGGAGUUGCUAAAUUGCCCGUAGGUGUGCAUGUGUGAGUGAAUGGUGUGUGAGUGUGCCCUGUGAUGGGCUGGCCCCCCAUCCUGGGUUGUUGCCUGCCUCGUGCCCAUUGCUUCCGGGAUAGGCUCCGGACCCCCCGCGACCCAGUAGGAUAAGCGGUUUGGAAGAUAGAUGGACGGACGGAUGGAUGGAUGGAUGGAUAUUGCUUUGUUGUGUCUAUUCGAUUAUCCAAUAUUUUGCUGUCUAUUAUUUAACAGACACCUCAGUUGGUGGCUUUCGAAAAAAUGGUCUUUCGAAGUGAAACAAUUUAAAACACUUAGUAAACUGUUUAAUGCAGUAAAUAAAUACGUAUGGCCAUA